rnacentral:rRNA from 1 species
CCCUUAGAUGUUCUGGGCUGCACACGUGCUACACUGGCAGGUUCAGCGAGCUUCAUGCCCUGAUCUGAAAGGAAUGGGAAAUCUUUUCAAAACCUGCCGUGCUUGGGAUAGAUGUUUGCAAUUAUUCAUCUUCAACGAGGAUUGCCUUGUAAGCGCACGUCAUCAGCGUGCAUUGAAUACGACCCUGUAUUCUGUACACACCGCCCGUCGCUCCUACCGAUUGAAGUUUUCGGUGAGUUGACAGGAGGAUUUUUUUGAAACUGGUUCGCCAGUGGAUUUUAGAUCCAAAUGCCAACGAAUCGAUGGCUUUAGAGGAAGGAGAAGUCGUAACG